ACGCUCGACACCUACGGGGCAGCAGUGGGGAAUAUUGCACAAUGGGGGAAACCCUGAUGCAGCGACGCCGCGUGAGUGAAGAAGUAUUUCGGUAUGUAAAGCUCUAUCAGCAGGGAAGAAAAUGACGGUACCUGAGUAAGAAGCCCCGGCUAACUACGUGCCAGCAGCCGCGGUAAUCUGAGCGGGCUGGCAAGGC
rnacentral:rRNA from 1 species